rnacentral:pre_miRNA from 1 species
GCUGAAGCUCUAAGGUUCCGCCUGCGGGCAGGAAGCGGAGGAACCUUGGAGCUUCGGC